rnacentral:rRNA from 1 species
UACGUAGGGUGCAAGCGUUAAUCGGAAUUACUGGGCGUAAAGCGUGCGCAGGCGGUGAUGUAAGACAGGCGUGAAAUCCCCGGGCUUAACCUGGGAACUGCGUUUGUGACUGCAAGGCUAGAGUACGGCAGAGGGGGGUGGAAUUCCACGUGUAGCAGUGAAAUGCGUAGAGAUGUGGAGGAACACCAAUGGCGAAGGCAGCCCCCUGGGUCGAUACUGACGCUCAUGCACGAAAGCGUGGGUAGCAAACAGG